AUAUUCAUUUUCUCUGCGGUUAGUACGAAGCCCACGCCGGCGCGGUGCUCUCACGGCCCCCUGCGGGUUCUGACGGUGCUGGUGGUCUGAGUCGGUGCGCUUGGAUAAGGACCGCUAUCCCGCUGACAAAAACCGGAUAAGUUCGGCCUCCCCCCUGUGGACCUUAGAAUGAGAAGCUAAUAAAAGAAGACGCAGCCUCUCAGCAGCCACAAUAUGACCCUCUGGAUUUAACCUGAGCAUGUGGUUGGGGUCAAAGCAAAGAUUUUUUCCUACCUGUCCUUUUCCCUCUGAAUAUCCCUGUAACGGUGCACAAACACGCACUGCUGCUAUUUUGUAAAUGCGCUCCAUCAUGACAAUGACCUGCAGUUUCUGUCUGAGUAAUAGCUACAUCAUAAAAAGCUCCUUAACUUCACAGGGCGCAUAUAAGAAUGAUUUAUGGCGCAGGUUAAAGGAGAUUUUUCCAGUUUGUUCUAUGUGUAAGCCAGGAUUUUACAUUUGCAAUGUGCUCAUUGAUACUUCAUUAAAAGAAUGACAAUCUGACAUUAAAGACUGUUCUACUGACAGAUGAAAAAAAAAAAAGUUAUUUGUCAUU